UACGUAGGGUGCAAGCGUUAAUCGGAAUAACUGGGCGUAAAGGGUGCGCAGGCGGACUUGCAAGACAGAUGUGAAAUGCCCGGGCUUAACCUGGGAACUGCAUUUGUGACUGCAUGGCUAGAGUUUGGCAGAGGGGGGUAGAAUUCCACGUGUAGCAGUGAAAUGCGUAGAUAUGUGGAGGAACACCGAUGGCGAAGGCAGCCCCCUGGGUCAAGACUGACGCUCAUGCACGAAAGCGUGGGGAGCAAACAGG
rnacentral:rRNA from 1 species